CCCUUAGAUGUUCUGGGCCGCACGCGCGCUACAAUGAUGAAUUCAACGAGUUUAUAACCUUGGUUGAAAAGCCUGGGUAAUCCUUUGAACUUUCGUCGUGAUGGGGCUAGACCCUUGCAAUUAUUGGUCUCCAACGAGGAAUUCCUAGUAAACGCAAGUCAUCAGCUUGCAUUGAUUACGUCCCUGCCCUUUGUACACACCGCCCGUCGCACCUACCGAUUGAAUGGUCCGGUGAAAUCUUCGGAUUGAGACUUUGUUUUCUUCACGGAAAACGCUGUUUUAAAAAGUUGAUUAAACCUUACCAUUUAGAGGAAGGUGAAGUCGUAACA
rnacentral:rRNA from 1 species